UCCUACGGGGGGCAGCAGUGGGGGAUAUUGCACAAUGGGGGGAACCCUGAUGCAGCGACGCCGCGUGGGUGAAGAAGCGCCUCGGCGCGUAAAGCCCUGUCAGCAGGGAAGAAAAUGACGGUACCUGAAGAAGAAGCCCCGGCUAACUACGUGCCAGCAGCCGCGGUAAUACGUAGGUGGCGAGCGUUAUCCGGAAUUAUUGGGCGUAAAGGGUGCGCAGGCGGCAAGAAAAGCUUAAGGUGAAAGCGUGGGGCUCAACCCCAUAAAGCCGUAGGAACUAGCUUGCUAGAGUGCAGGAGAGGGAG
rnacentral:rRNA from 1 species